UAAGUUCUAUGCCACUCGUCAUGUUAUCAUUCAGUAUACACAUGCCACUCGUUAUGUCGCUACAUAACUAUCAAGUUCAUCUCUUAUUCCGGCACCAUAGGAUUCCAACUUGUUAAGACCCAAUUCCUUAUAUGUCCACUAUAUCAUGUAUUCACCUCACACAAUGAUACCAACUAGGAAAGCAUAAGGAAAUGGAAAAUGCAACAACUACAAUCCUAC
rnacentral:lncRNA from 1 species